rnacentral:rRNA from 1 species
CCUACGGGAGGCAGCAGUGGGGGAUAUUGCACAAUGGGGGGAACCCUGAUGCAGCGACGCCGCGUGGGUGAAGAAGCGCCUCGGCGCGUAAAGCCCUGUCAGCAGGGAAGAAAAUGACGGUACCUGAAGAAGAAGCACCGGCUAACUACGUGCCAGCAGCCGCGGUAAUACGUAGGGGGCAAGCGUUAUCCGGAUUUACUGGGUGUAAGGGGGGCGCAGGCGGGGAGGGAAGCCAGGGGUGAAAGCCCGGGGCCCAAGCCCGGGAGUGCUCUUGGAACUGCGUGGCUGGAGUGCAGGAGGGGCAGGCGGAAUGCCUGGUGUAGCGGUGAAAUGCGUAGAUAUCAGGAGGAACACCGGUGGCGAAGGCGGCCUGCUGGACUGCAACUGACGUUGAGGCCCGAAAGCGUGGGGAGCAAACAGGAUUAGAUACCCCUGUAGUC